UGUGUCUAUGUGGACUCACAUCCUCUCUCCAUCCAUACAGACUUACCUGUGUCCCUGGAAAGUGAUCAGAUUUGUGGGGGCAGAAUCUAACUCAUGUUCUGAUUACCAGCUGGUAAGAAAGCCCUUUAUCCAUGAGCAAUGAAGAAAUACACAGCUUAGGAAAAUUGUUGCCUUUUCUCACAAGUGAUUUAUCCCCACCAUUUAACGUGAACAUGACAUAUGGACUGGGAAUGUAAGAGCACAAAAGACUAGCAAUGUAUAUAUGAACACAAGAUGAAUUACUGACUCUGGUGUGAAAGCACUUCGUGUUUCACCUCCCUAAAUAGGUUUAAGCAUGAGAUGUACUAUGUAAAACUCUUUAAAAUGCAUGUUAUAUGACAUCAACUCCCCAGCUCAUUUAUCAAAAAUGGAAUUAUUCUGUUUGAGAACAGCAGAGGACCUGGUCACAUACAGAAUAAAUAAGAGCAUAUUAGUUUAGGUUAUCAGGCAGACUGGCUCCUCAGUUCACUUUGGUCUUCUGCUAGGUUAUAGGUUACUGGCUAUAUGAGAGCAGACAGUUCUCUGGUGUGUAUAACACCUUCAUCUAUACAGGUUAUUUGAUUUCCAUGCCCAGAACAUGACCACUGCAGAUGCAAUGAGAACAGAGGCAUGGCAGGACACAGCUGUCUGGUGGUCUCAAGGAAGGUCCAGAGACUCUGGACUACUACUGGGUCUCCUUCUAAAAGUAGAGCUGCUCCUCAAGCUGCUGUCUAUCAGAAUGCUUCAUUCCUGUAUUGUUUCCUCCUACUGGAGCAGAGCAACCUCGAGCAACCUCUGCUUGGAACAGCAGGAAUCUCCUCUUCUGUCUCCUGUUGCUUCCUGCUUUGCUCUCUAUCUGCAUCAUGAUCCCACAGCCCUCAGGCAGCAGCAAGGCAAAGGGUUACAUUCUUCAGUCUGUUCCUUUUGGGGCACUUUGAACCUCUCAGAAACAAUAAUACUGUGUUUCAUCGACCCAAAACUACAGUACAAAUUAGUUAUUUCAUGGCAUUAUCUAAGCAUUAUCUAAGCUGAUGAUAUAUUCCUGCACAUAAAUAUGUAAUUGUCUUCUGUCAGAGAAACAACUUGCAGAAGAAGACUGCACCUUGCAAGUAGGUGUUCAUGCAAUGUGACCAAUGCGACAACCACAGCACUUACAGACUGUGCAGCAUCUGAUGCCUAAGUAAGCCUGAACUUCAUAUCACAAGAUAGAUUUUUGCAUAGAAAUUGGUAGAUAUCCCUUUUUUUUUUUUUUUUUUUUUUUUUCCAUAACAAAACCUGUUCCACAUUGAACGUUGGUUAAUCUUAAUUUCUAGUUUUUUGGUUGGUUGGAGGUUUGUUGUUUUGUUGUUGUUGUUGUUGUUUUGUUUUGCAUAACAAAAUAUUUGGAUAUUUUCUUCUAAUUUCACAGCUUUUGUUUAGGACGAAUAUUUAACUAUUCUACAAUUAUUCAGUGCCUAGCAUACAUAAAAUUCAUAAUUAAUCCAUUUACUCUUGGCAAGCAAAAUUUUGUUGUGGGCAGCUAAGAAGUGAAUAGGUUUGAAUGAAUUUUUGGGGAAAUUUUAGUCCAAAAUAUUUUAUGUACAAAAUCUGUCAUAUUCAAUCCUGAGAGCAGAAGGAAAUGGUUUCCUUACACCACAAGAAUUUUUGAGAUUUAAAAAAUUUUGUCUGUCCUGUGUCAAGAAACAGUGCAGAAAUGUGAAACCUACUACAGAAUUAAAAUUGUGACAUUGCGUAGCUUCUGAGUUGUUACAAUGUUUGCUUUUACUUAAUUUCCUUUCCUUUCCUUUAGGGUUUUGUUUCCUCUUUCCUGUAGUGUUUUUUUUUUUCAGAGUUGCUAAAAAUAUGGUGGAAAAAAUAAUCUGAAUGUUUCCUUGGAUCCCCAGAAAAAUAAAGGUUGUUUUUUGUUUUGUUGUUGUCUGUUU
rnacentral:lncRNA from 1 species